CACUUCAGGCUGUGGUCUACUCCAUAAACCUGCAACACCCAGUCUUAUGGUGGGAAGAAUAGCAGGCAAAUAGUGAUUCAGGAAUGUCCUAAAGAAUGCUGGACAACGAUCCUCAAGAUUGCCAGGAUUCAAAUUUUCUUGAAAUCAUCCAAAUAUGUAUGACACUGAUCUUGGAAGGUAAUGGCAUAUAGAGAAUAGAAUGCAGGCACAGCUAUGAGAAGCUUGGAGUGGCUGGACGUGGGGCACACUUAGCUGCACAGAGAGCCCUUUGUGGGGUGCAGGGGGUACAUCAUGGCAUGUGCGUGUGCAUGUAAACAGAUAUGAUGAUGAUAAUGAUGAUGAUGAGGAGGACAAUGACAAAAAAGAUGAAGACAUCCAUUGUCAACUUCUGGAACCACCUGCAUUGAAUCUUUCCAUCACCCUCCACUCGUUGUGGCAUGUUUGAUAAUCACACGUGUACAUGUAACCUGCGAUCUACCAUUUGAUUGAUAAGCAUAUCGAUAAUAAGAUUCAGAAGGAACAAAGAGCUUGCAGUUGCCAUGGUACUGAUUCCAAAUGAGACCUCAAGAACUCAGUCAAGUGAAGGACCUUCACUGUUGGAUCCCGACUGCUUGUGGACAUUCAGGAAACACCAUGGCUGCUCUAAUCCCUCUACCUCUGGAGCCUGGCGGAGGAGACUUCAAGUCCAGAUGAGCUCAUGAGGUAGAAAACCACAACAGGGAGUCACAGCACAGCAAUACCCCAGACCUCUCGUGUUGCUCUUUUUUCCUAGAAGACAACACUUCACUCCUCCUCACGCAUAGGACCUGGGAUCUGAAUUUGGAUCCUCUUGUAUGUGGGGCACUUUACCAGUGAGCCAUCUCUCUGCCUUUCAGUGAUAAAAUAGCAUCACUAGAGAGGCUGGAGGAAACACAUUGGUGAUAGAUUCAUUUAUGUCCCAGAUG
rnacentral:lncRNA from 1 species